UACGGAGGGAGCUAGCGUUGUUCGGAAUUACUGGGCGUAAAGCGCACGUAGGCGGCUUUGUAAGUUAGAGGUGAAAGCCCGGGGCUCAACCCCGGAAUUGCCUUUAAGACUGCAUCGCUUGAAUCCGGGAGAGGUGAGUGGAAUUCCGAGUGAUAGAGGUGAAAUUCGUAGAUAUUCGGAAGAACACCAGUGGCGAAGGCGGCUCACUGGACCGGUAUUGACGCUGAGGCGCGAAAGCGUGGGGAGCAAACAGG
rnacentral:rRNA from 1 species